AACGAACGCUGGCGGCAUGCCUAACACAUGCAAGUCGAACGAGACCUUCGGGUCUAGUGGCGCACGGGUGCGUAACGCGUGGGAAUCUGCCCUUGGGUUCGGAAUAACAGUUGGAAACGACUGCUAAUACCGGAUGAUGACGUAAGUCCAAAGAUUUAUCGCCCAAGGAUGAGCCCGCGUAGGAUUAGCUAGUUGGUGAGGUAAAGGCUCACCAAGGCGACGAUCCUUAGCUGGUCUGAGAGGAUGAUCAGCCACACUGGGACUGAGACACGGCCCAGACUCCUACGGGAGGCAGCAGUGGGGAAUAUUGGACAAUGGGCGAAAGCCUGAUCCAGCAAUGCCGCGUGAGUGAUGAAGGCCUUAGGGUUGUAAAGCUCUUUUACCCGGGAUGAUAAUGACAGUACCGGGAGAAUAAGCUCCGGCUAACUCCGU
rnacentral:rRNA from 1 species